UCUCGACAUAGUUUGUUUUUUUUUAAGUGGAGAGCGGAAAUAGAGGAGGGCGUUAGAAAAUAACGAAGAUCCUCCUUUUCUUCCCUGAAUAUAGAGCGCUUUCCAUAUGAUUGUGUAUAUGCAUGUACAGGUAUCUCUAGCCUAAGAAUUUAUUGUUGUAUAAUGGAUAAUCGUUAUUAUAGGCUGGUUAACGAGAUUGAAAAAUAAAUAAUUACUUGGUGAUUUAA